GAGUUUGAUCCUGGCUCAGAACGAACGCUGGCGGCAGGCUUAACACAUGCAAGUCGAACGAUAUAGUGGCAGACGGGUGAGUAACGCGUGGAAACGUGCCUUUCACUACGGAAUAGCUUUUGGAAACGAAAGGUAAUACCGUAUACGCCCUCCGGGGGAAAGAUUUAUCGGUGAAAGAUCGGUCCGCGUUAGAUUAGCUAGUUGGUGAGGUAACGGCUCACCAAGGCUACGAUCUAUAGCUGGUCUGAGAGGAUGAUCAGCCACACUGGGACUGAGACACGGCCCAGACUCCUACGGGAGGCAGCAGUGGGGAAUAUUGCACAAUGGGCGCAAGCCUGAUGCAGCCAUGCCGCGUGAAUGAUGAAGGCCUUAGGGUUGUAAAAUUCUUUCGCCAGGGAUGAUAAUGACAGUACCUGGUAAAGAAGCCCCGGCUAACUUCGUGCCAGCAGCCGCGGUAAUACGAAGGGGGCUAGCGUUGUUCGGAAUUACUGGGCGUAAAGCGCACGUAGGCGGACUUUUAAGUCAGAUGUGAAAUCCCGAGGCUCAACCUCGGAACUGCAUUUGAAACUGGGAGUCUAGAGAUCAGGAGAGGUUAGCGGAAUACCGAGUGUAGAGGUGAAAUUCGUAGAUAUUCGGUGGAACACCAGUGGCGAAGGCGGCUAACUGGACUGAUACUGACGCUGAGGUGCGAAAGUGUGGGGAGCAAACAGGAUUAGAUACCCUGGUAGUCCACACCGUAAACGAUGAGUGCUAGUUGUCUGCAGGCAUGCCUGUAGGUGACGCAGCUAACGCAUUAAGCACUCCGCCUGGGGAGUACGGCCGCAAGGUUAAAACUCAAAGAAAUUGACGGGGGCCCGCACAAGCGGUGGAGCAUGUGGUUUAAUUCGAAGCAACGCGCAGAACCUUACCUACGCUUGACAUGCCUGGACGACUCCGAGAGAUCGGUUUCUCCCUUCGGGGCCAGUGCACAGGUGCUGCAUGGCUGUCGUCAGCUCGUGUCGUGAGAUGUUGGGUUAAGUCCCGCAACGAGCGCAACCCUCAUCCUUAGUUGCCAUCACGUUUGGGUGGGCACUCUAGGGAAACUGCCGGUGCUAAGCCGGAGGAAGGCGGGGAUGACGUCAAGUCCUCAUGGCCCUUACGCGUAGGGCUACACACGUGCUACAAUGGCAGUGACAAUGGGAUAAUCCCCAAAAGCUGUCUCAGUUCGGAUUGUCGGCUGCAACUCGCCGGCAUGAAGUUGGAAUCGCUAGUAAUCGUGGAUCAGCAUGCCACGGUGAAUACGUUCCCGGGCCUUGUACACACCGCCCGUCACACCAUGGGAGUUGGAUCUACCCGAAGAUUGUGAGCUAACUUCGGAGGCAGCAAGCCACGGUAGGUUCAGCGACUGGGGUGAAGUCGUAACAAGGUAGCCGUAGGGGAACCUGCGGCUGGAUCACCUCCUUU
rnacentral:rRNA from 1 species